ACUGAACGCUGGCGGCAUGCCUUACACAUGCAAGUCGAGCGGUAACAGGUCUUCGGAUGCUGACGAGUGGCGAACGGGUGAGUAAUACAUCGGAACGUGCCUAGUAGUGGGGGAUAACUACUCGAAAGAGUGGCUAAUACCGCAUGAGAUCUACGGAUGAAAGCAGGGGAUCGCAAUACCUUGUGCUACUAGAGCGGCCGAUGGCAGAUUAGGUAGUUGGUGGGAUAAAAGCUUACCAAGCCGACGAUCUGUAGCUGGUCUGAGAGGACGAUCAGCCACACUGGGACUGAGACACGGCCCAGACUCCUACGGGAGGCAGCAGUGGGGAAUUUUGGACAAUGGGCGCAAGCCUGAUCCAGCAAUGCCGCGUGCAGGAUGAAGGCCUUCGGGUUGUAAACUGCUUUUGUACGGAACGAAAAGCCCUGGGUUAAUACCCUGGGGUCAUGACGGUACCGUAAGAAUAAGCACCGGCUAACUACGUGCCAGCAGCCGCGGUAAAAC
rnacentral:rRNA from 1 species